UACGUAGGGCGCAAGCGUUAUCCGGAAUUAUUGGGCGUAAAGAGCUCGUAGGCGGUUUGUCGCGUCUGCUGUGAAAGACCGGGGCUCAACUCCGGUUCUGCAGUGGGUACGGGCAGACUAGAGUGAUGUAGGGGAGACUGGAAUUCCUGGUGUAGCGGUGAAAUGCGUAGAUAUCAGGAGGAACACCGAUGGCGAAGGCAGGUCUCUGGGCAUUAACUGACGCUGAGGAGCGAAAGCAUGGGGAGCGAACAGG
rnacentral:rRNA from 1 species